rnacentral:lncRNA from 1 species
AGAUGAGCAUCUCAGCAUCUCAGAGGCGAAGAAACUGGCCUAGCCAUCACAUGGUGGCACUUGCAGCCUGAGUCAGCAGAUCCCCAGCAAAUGAAGACUUUGAGAUGAAGACAGCUGAGCUCAUGAUGGGGUAGGUCAGCCUCCGUCAUGGAAAUUCUGUGUGCCUGAGGCCCACCCUUCCAGUGCAGAUGGAGGGAUGGGAUGGAAAUGAAUCUAGGGGAAUGCAUCCCAGCUGUGAUCCAGCCACCUCUGCGUUUGAAGGCUGGGGGUUAUUCCCUCCUCAUGGUUGCCACCAUUCCUAUGUUUGCGUGUCAUGCUUGGAACUGCUGCAGCCACUUUGUGACAGACUGAGAAUGAAUCCAGCGCUAAAAUCAGUCUAGCAAAAGGAGGAGAAACACCUGGGUCUCCAUGAUGUCACUGAGCAAGUGAAUUGACCAGCUGUGAGAUAUAAGCAUAAGAUGUCUGGAACGAUCUUCAUCCAAUGCUAGCCAUCGCUAUUUCUAGACGGUGGAAUUUCUAGAUGGCGGAGUCUGGGG